UCUGCAUAAACGACAUUGUGGCUUGUAGUGAAUUCAGCACUUUAGUGUUAUUGUUUGCCUCACUGAGUUGGCACAUUCAUUUUAGCUGUGAAUUCAGCGCACUUUUCAUUACAUCUAUUACUGCAAGCGUUUUUAUUGAUUUUUUUUGAGGGAUAAAUUCGAUCAUAUAUCGGUCAUGCAUUCUUUUAUGUUCUUCCGACCUUGUUGAUAAUGAGCCCCUGAUGAAGUCCAGUUGGACGAAACGUGUUGGUUUUUGGUUUGGAUAUGAGAGCAUCGGAUAUGUAUUAGUUAAGAGAGCAUCUUUGGAUUAACAAACUGUCCGCAUUAUAUUGUUUUAUAUCUGUCUGUAUUUUAAAUAUGUCAGCCAUCUGUUAUUCAAUGUGAUUCACUGUCUAACACUUUUAUACAAAUAAA